UUAUCAGAAACAUGAUUGCUAUGGUAGAGCAGCAAAUUUUAAAGACAGACUGACUGGUGUUAGAGAAAUGGGAAGCUCUGGCUGAGCACUGUUGGCUGAGAGAUCAGGCGACAGCAGGGAACACAAGAUGUGUCCACAAGCAGUGUCGUUCAGAAUCUUAAAAGUGAUGAUGGAAUGAAUGUCAAUCACUUACAUAAAAAGCUAUAGCCCAUUUUCCUUAUCAUAUUCACCAAAACACACGUGGAAACUUCGUAUUUUGCAAUCUCCAAGUCCAACCUUAUUAUACAGGGACUGUCACACUGAAUAAAUCAGAACUGUUUAAAACCCCGUAGGCUGUUCACACAACUCAAGGCCACCUGUUCUUGGUUCUGGUGCCUUUCUGUGACUUGCUGUAAACACAGAAUUCCGAAGGUCAGCAACUGUAAGACUUGGUGGCAUGGCUGCCCUCAGUCAUAGUCAGAUCACAUUACUGCUCACACAGCGGCCUUGCAGGCCCUCCGUGAAUAAAUGUUCUCUGCAGACAGCAGUUCUGCAUUCUGAGAGAGCACAUUUAUAAAGCAGUCACUUAUUCCACACUUAUUUCUAUGUAUGAAUAUAUAAUCAAGGAGAGCAAGACCAGUGGUGGUGCAGUUUAAAAGCUACAGCAAGAAUCUGUGCCACAGGCAAGGCAGCCUUUCCACUUAGGUUUCUGAAUGCUUUGUUGUAAACAUAUAACGCAGGACAGGGAUGGAGCAUGUCUUUUAAAUGCACUGCCCACAAGCAGGGCAAGAAUCCACUUUGUUCUUAACAAAUCAACUCCUGUCACUGGAACUAACUCUGCAGCAAAGACAGAUUUUUAGGCUAUGUUUUCAACUGAAGAACAGACAAAAGAGAGUGGCCAUACUCACAGACUAUGCCUCCAGCAGAACAGAAUGAUUGUGCAACCAACUCUAUUUAAAAACACGCUUAAAGAAAAUGUUUUUAUGUGUAAUUCUACUCAGACCUGAGUUCAGUUAUAACAUAAUUCUCAGCCUGGAGUGACAAAGAAGCAGCGCCUACCUACACUAACGUUUUUGUUUGCAGAACAUCAGAUUUCACUUGUUUGUGCUAGUUCAUAUAUUGUGACAUGCAUAUGGACUCCAUGAGCUUUUGGUGCUGCUCCCAAGAUAGGAGCAUCAGCUAGAAGAUCCUGGUGAAAUGAGACAUUAUGUUCUUCAUGAGCAGCCAAGUUCAUCUCUGUCACCUGAGACAGACAGCUGAAACUCUCUGUGAAGCUAUCAAAAAGAGAUCUCACAGGUGUGCUUUAAAGCACUUUAAAUUAAAGUGGUCUUCUCCAGCUGAAACAGUUGGUAUCUAGGGGACCUUAAAAGGAGGGUUUGAUCAGUAAAAUAGCUACAGCGGGUAAAGUUUGGUAAUGUGGAAGUAAAAACUGCUAGUACAUUUAUAUCUAAUCUAAGAACUCCAUAGUAAAUGGUAAAUAUUUAAGUACUGUUUGCAUAGGCUCCAUCAGGGAAUGCUCUUACUGCCUUACCAAAAUACCUCACCAAGCUUUUUCAUGUUCAUACUGAUCUGAUGUGAAUGCUGGGUUCCUGUGCAUAUGUUAUGGACUUUACUGGCACUGUAGAGCUGGCAAGUGGAUCCAGUCAGACUCAUAAGCACUAUCUUUCUGACUCCAGAGCAUCUGGAUACUGUGGGCAGACUGUUCAAAGAACAUGUAAACUACUUAUGCAUCAAACAGAAGCAAUAUCCUUGCCAGUUUAGCAUGUGGUUUUUGAAAUGCAAACUAAAAGGUGAAGAUGGGCUUCUGAAGCAUCCUGGUGAAAGCAAAGAUAUCUGAAAGAGACCAAGAGGUCAAUGUCAAGUGAUUCACUGUCAUUCUAGCAACCAGUCCUGAAGGGUGAAGAGAGCAUGGGAAGGAAGGCUGUUUUAGAUCCUUCCCAUCUAUUCCACAACUGUUUGGGGUUUUUUACCAGCAGAAGGUUUUACCUUCUUGCUGGUGCCAUUCUUCAUUGAAGUCUUCAGAGAAAUACAGACCCAUGGACAUAUUGACAAAAAUCCCAGUCAGUGUCAGCCUAACUGUAUGCAGUUCUCCUCCCGUUCCCUCAUGGCCAGGCCUGCUGUGCAGUACUCCAGCUGAAGUUCAGUCAUGGUCUCCUGCUGGCUGGCACUGGAGAACAGGCUACAGGCAGCAGCUGCUGGUUUGACAGCCAGUUCUGUUCAAGGAGAUGGUAACUGCAGGGCAAUGCAUGCCCAAUAAAACAAGCUAAAAUUGUCAGGGGAUCCCUAAACAAGACCCUGCUCUGUCGAAAAAGAGUCAGCCUCUAAAUAAACUCUAAAAGGUUUCUAGCAGCCAGGAUGCAAGUGGAAGAAGUCUUCCUUUGGAAGUUUACAUAAUCAUUUAAUUUAAUCCUUCCUGUGGUGUUUCCCAGCCACUGCUUUAUUUCUUUGAUCAUAAUCUGCUAGGACAAAUGUCAGGAAAUAUGAGUCUACAAAGUGAUGUGAAUCUUGUUCCCUAUCGGAGAUGUGACUAUGAGCAUUAUCUUCAUGAUAUUUUCUUUCUCAUGUGUUCAUUUCUGCUCAGUGUUUUCCCAGUCUUUGAUGACAGAGAAAAGCAAUGACUUUCAAGCUUAAAAACAAAGCUAUAUUAUUCAGGCCCUGAUGAUGAGUGUACUUUAGCUUGCAUUUCAAGGUGGAGAAAAGCCAUAAUAGCAUGGGUAUAACAUGUAAGGUUUAUUAUAAUGUGGUAUUUGCAAGAAUCCAUGGCUUUUGGCUUUCAUAUUGUUUUUUACUUGCUGCAGCUCCAUCAUGGCCUGUGUGAUGAGACCUGCUUGUAUGUUUCUGUCUCAAGCAGUCAAACAUGGCUAUUUCUUGCCUUUCAGCAGCUUUAUGGCCU